UUGAACUUCAUGUGAAAGUUGUGUCUCCCAUAUAGAAAACAAAACUUGUAGUGCUCUUUCAAUCAUUCAUAUCUCCAGCCUAAUCACUAUCACUAUAACCCAUAAGAUCAAAGCUAUUAGAAUAACCAUAAAACAAGCUAAAAUCAACUAUUAACAA